AGAGCGAACGCUGGCGGCAGGCCUAACACAUGCAAGUCGAGCGCCCGUAGCAAUACGGGAGCGGCAGACGGGAUAGUAACACGUGGGAACGCGCCCUUCGGUUCGGAAUAACUCAGGGAAACUUGAGCUAAUACCGGAUACGCCCUUACGGGGAAAGAUUUAUUGCCGAAGGAACGGCCCGCGUCCGAUUAGCUAGUUGGUGGGGUAAUGGCUCACCAAGGCGACGAUCGGUAGCUGGUCUGAGAGGAUGACCAGCAUCACUGGGACUGAGACACGGCCCAGACUCCUACGGGAGGCAGCAGUGGGGAAUAUUGGACAAUGGGCGCAAGCCUGAUCCAGCCAUGCCGCGUGGAUGAUGAAGGCCUUAGGGUUGUAAAGUCCUUUUAACGGGGAAGAUAAUGACGGUACCCGUAGAAUAAGCCCCGGCUAACUUCGUGCCAGCAGCCGC
rnacentral:rRNA from 1 species